UACAAGUUGCUUCCUGUGAUUAUUUCCAGCCGUAAUCAAUGCAGUACUGAGUUAUUGGUUCUGUAAAGAGCCUGCUCUAUGCUAGCUAUGGAAAAAUAAAAUCCAAAAAGAGGAAGAGAGAGAGAGAAAAAGAAGGAGGGGGGAAGAGAAGGAGCUCAAGAAGGACUGCACUAUUAGAAGCAGAAAAACAGGUUCCUAAAGGAUGAAUUUGAGCUCAGGUAUAUUCUGAGGGAUGAGGAUUGUUGUUUCGAACAGAAUUAAGUGUAUGUAUACUGGUAAUUGAUGCUGAAUGCACAAGGUAAUCAUCCUGUUCUUCAUAAAUGAUGGUGCUUAAUCAUAAGUAAAUUAGACCAUGUCAAUCUUUUAGGAGGCAAUUAAAGCAAUAGACUUUCCAUGGCCUGUUUUCACAUGCAUAGGGACUGAUUUAACUCCCAUCUACCUCUCUUGGGCAUAAGGCUUGCUUUCAGCACAGCUGCAGAUGACUUUUACCGCUGUCAAAAGUAACUGACAAGUCCAUAAUACAGAGCACAAAUGUUCUUCAAAAAGAAAAAAAUAUAUAAAUCUGUUUUAAACAGCUAUCAGCCUUUAUUAAAACAACAGUUUGAGUAAAGAACUGAUUCUGUAAGAUUCCUAACAUCUAAUGAUGGAGAAACUGAAAGGUAUUAAUGUUUGUUGCGUGCUUCUAGUAAUAGCAGCUGAAUAACAUUUUUCCCAGCCACCUGGAUCUUCAUUUAGACAUUAUAAGAAACUGUACCUACGUUGCAAACUGGCCUUUUUCUUUCAUUUUCUGCAGUUCAUUUGUAUCCAGUCAGGCUGCAUCAAGAUUCAUUGCAUUUAAUGGGAAAUUCACUCUUCUGGAUCAGAUACCUAUUUUCAAUUUGGACAGUAUCUGAUUCCAAUGGCAGAGGUGACAGAAAUAAAGAGGAGAUGAGAAGCAACUGCCUAUGGUAUAGAUUUCUGCAAUGCUAACACAGCUGCCAGUUUCUGAACCAGUAGGAUUAUCCAGGACUCUCCAGGCUCCCGACAGCUGGUCGCUGGGGUCUGAAUAAACGCAGCCAGUGCCGUGUGGAUCUGGGGGAGGAAGAUGCUCCAUGUAUCCAUAGCCACAGGGGGCUGUGCCACAGGGCCUCUGUGGGCUCCCCAAGCCACCUACCAGCUGGCCACCUCCCAGAGAAGCUGCCUCUGCCCCCUGACACCCACAGGACCCCUGCCCAGGGACAAUACCCUAUUGAGGGGUUUAGGAUGCUGGGAGUACUCACUAGCCUGAUUUCUCUCUUUCCCCUUCUCCGCCUCACUCUCGCCUCUCUGCCCUCUCCAAACCUCUCCCUUUUCUCUAACAGUGUAUUUCCCAGCCAGAGAGCCUUUUGCUACGGUGGGCCCUCUUAUCCUGCCAUCACGCUUCGCUGAGCCUGCUGUCCUGGGAUUGGGGAGAUGCUGAGCUGUAUUCAUUGUGACACAAAGUAAAAGCAGCAGGUUCCCAGCCUCAUGAGCAACAGCAACACUCCAGCAUUUAAUGGACUUAAACCUCUCCUGCAACCCACCUGUUUCUGGGGUAGGUUUCUGGACACCUAUGCUUCCUCUCAGUGUGUCACUGGCUUGUAGCCAAAGCAAUUUUUAAUUCUUACAUCAGCUGUGUAACCCUAUAUAUUCCCUGCUGAGCCAGACUCUGUGUUACUGUUAUUCCAAGGCUUCCACAGAUGCUUCAACUGCCAAUAAAGUAAAUUUUGCAAACACUUUGCAGAGAAAAAGUGGAGGGGAGGGUGAAAGAGAAGAGAGAGUGAAAUGGAAAUCAGCGCUGGUCUGAUUACACAUUGCUUGCUAAUAAGCACAGAGGCUGGAAGUCAGGAAGAGGAAGGAGGGGGGAACCAGGGAUAAUUACAAGGCAGGAG
ensembl:lncRNA